UUGGAGGGCAAGUCUGGUGCCAGCAGCCGCGGUAAUUCCAGCUCCAAUAGCGUAUAUUAAAGUUGUUGCAGUUAAAAAGCUCGUAGUUGAAUUUCUGGGCGGGGGUGUCGGUCGCCUCUUACGGGGUCGUACUGGCAUAAAUCACCUCGCCUUUUCCCUUCUGGCGAGCCGUUAUGUUCUUAGUUGAGUGUGGCGGGGAACCAGGACUGUUACUUUGAAAAAAUUAGAGUGUUUAAAGCAGGCUAUUAAGCUUGAAUACAUUAGCAUGGAAUAACGAAAUAGGACGGCUAUUUGGUUCCAUUUUGUUGGUUUUACGGACCACCGUAAUGAGUAAUAGGGAUAGUUGGGGGCAUUAGUAUUCAAUUGUCAGAGGUGAAAUUCUUGGAUUUAUUGAAGACUAACUUCUGCGAAAGCAUUUGCCAAGGAUGUUUCAUUAAUCAAGAACGAAAGUUAGGGGAUCGAAGACGAUCAGAUACCGUCGUAGUCUUAACCAUAGACUACGCCGACUAGGGAUCGGGCGAUGUUACAUACCAAUAUGACUCGUUCGGCG
rnacentral:rRNA from 1 species